GUCGAACGAGAUUAGAGACUUCNGGUUUCUAUGAAAGUGGCGCACGGGUGCGUAACACGUAUGCAACCUACCUUCAAUUGGGGGAUAGCCUUCCGAAAGGGAGAUUAAUACCGCAUAAGAUAUCAGAAUGGCAUCAUUUAGAUAUUAAAACUUUGGUGAUUGAAGAUGGGCAUGCGUUGCAUUAGCUAGUUGGUAAGGUAACGGCUUACCAAGGCUACGAUGCAUAGGGGAUCUGAGAGGAUGGUCCCCCACACUGGUACUGAGAUACGGACCAGACUCCUACGGGAGGCAGCAGUAAGGAAUAUUGGUCAAUGGACGGAAGUCUGAACCAGCCAUGCCGCGUGCAGGAAGACGGCCCUAUGGGUUGUAAACUGCUUUUGUCGGGGAAUAAACCUAGAUACGUGUAUUUAGUUGAAGGUACCCGAAGAAUAAGGAUCGGCUAACUCCGUGCCAGCAGCCGCGGUAAUACGGAGGAUCCAAGCGUUAUCCGGAUUUAUUGGGUUUAAAGGGUGCGUAGGCGGUAAAUUAAGUCAGAGGUGAAAGCCUGCAGCUCAACUGUAGAACUGCCUUUGAUACUGGUUUACUUGAGUACAGAUGAAGUGGGCGGAAUGUGACAAGUAGCGGUGAAAUGCAUAGAUAUGUCACAGAACACCGAUUGCGAAGGCAGCUCACUAAAGUGUAACUGACGCUGAGGCACGAAAGCGUGGGGAUCAAACAGGAUUAGA
rnacentral:rRNA from 1 species